rnacentral:lncRNA from 1 species
CUUCAACCCAGAAGACUUCCCAGUCCAUCCGGGAGAAAGUUCCUGGGGGGUUCCCCUGCUCCUAGGGAAAGAGGCUUCGAGCACUGAAUCUUCUGGCUGCCACGCAUGUCAGGGAGCCAAAGGGACUGGGUUUUGCUGGGUGCAGGGGAGGUCGCGUCGGGGGUACCUACCAGGUGGCGGGGUGGGGGUGGGGGUGGGAAUGGGGUGAAAUUUGUGGAAACCUCUCGGCCCCUCUGGCCGGC